CGCCAAUGGCGGGCUGCUAAUAAUGCAAGUCGAGCGAACCGACGGGAGCUUGCUCCCGUGUAGUGUCAGAGGCGGACGGGGGGGUGGGCGGGGUGUACCGGCCCGGGAACGGGGAUAACUCCGGGAAACCGGGGCUAAUACCGGAUGCUUGAUUGAACCGCAGGUUCAAUUAUAAAAGGUGGCUUUUAGCUACCACUUACAGAUGGACCCGCGGCGCAUAGCUAGUUGGUGAGGUAACGGCUCACCAAGGCGACGAUGCGUAGCCGACCUGAGAGGGUGAUCGGCCACACUGGGACUGAGACACGGCCCAGACUCCUACGGGAGGCAGCAGUAGGGAAUCUUCCGCAAUGGACGAAAGUCUGACGGAGCAACGCCGCGUGAGUGAUGAAGGUUUUCGGAUCGUAAAACUCUGUUGUUAGGGAAGAACAAGUACCGUUCGAACAGGGCGGUGCCUUGACGGUACCUAACCAGAAAGCCACGGCUAACUACGUGCCAGCAGCCGCGGUAAUACGUAGGUGGCAAGCGUUGUCCGGAAUUAUUGGGCGUAAAGCGCGCGCAGGCGGUUUCUUAAGUCUGAUGUGAAAGCCCCCGGCUCAACCGGGGAGGGUCAUUGGAAACUGGGGAACUUGAGUGCAGAAGAGGAGAGUGGAAUUCCACGUGUAGCGGUGAAAUGCGUAGAGAUGUGGAGGAACACCAGUGGCGAAGGCGACUCUCUGGUCUGUAACUGACGCUGAGGCGCGAAAGCGUGGGGAGCGAACAGGAUUAGAUACCCUGGUAGUCCACGCCGUAAACGAUGAGUGCUAAGUGUUAGAGGGUUUCCGCCCUUUAGUGCUGCAGCAACGCAUUAAGCACUCCGCCUGGGGAGUACGGUCGCAGACUGAACUCAAGGAAUUGACGGGGCCCGCACAGCGUGGAGCAUGUGGUUUAUCGAGCACGCGAGAUCUUACCAGUCUGACAUCUCUGACACCCUAGAGAUAGGGCUCUCCUCGGGGCAGAUGACAGUGGUGCAUGAUUGUCGUCACCUCUGUCAUGAAUGUGGCUAAGUCCCCCACGAGGCGCAACCUGGAACUAAUGCCACCCAUUCAUGGCACUCUCGUACAGUCGUCAACAGAAGUGGGUGAAUUCAAUAUCAUGGGCCCC
rnacentral:rRNA from 1 species